rnacentral:rRNA from 1 species
UACGUAGGUGGCAAGCGUUGUCCGGAAUUAUUGGGCGUAAAGCGCGCGCAGGUGGUUCCUUAAGUCUGAUGUGAAAGCCCACGGCUCAACCGUGGAGGGUCAUUGGAAACUGGGGAAUUUGAGUGCAGAAGAGGAAAGUGGAAUUCCAAGUGUAGCGGUGAAAUGCGUAGAGAUUUGGAGGAACACCAGUGGCGAAGGCGACUUUCUGGUCUGUAACUGACACUGAGGCGCGAAAGCGUG